rnacentral:rRNA from 1 species
UAACACGUGGGGAACCUGCCCCAUAGUAUGGGAUACCACUUGGAAACAGGUGCUAAUACCGGAUAAGAAAGCGGAUCGCAUGAUCAGCUUUUAAAAGGCGGCGUAAGCUGUCGCUAUGGGAUGGCCCCGCGGUGCAUUAGCUAGUUGGUAAGGUAAAGGCUUACCAAGGCGAUGAUGCAUAGCCGAGUUGAGAGACUGAUCGGCCACAUUGGGACUGAGACACGGCCCAAACUCCUACGGGAGGCAGCAGGU